rnacentral:rRNA from 1 species
UGGUAGUCCACGCCGUAAACGAUGUCUACUUGGAGGUUGGUGUCUUGAAUACUGGCUUUCGGAGCUAACGCGUUAAGUAGACCGCCUGGGGAGUACGGUCGCAAGAUUAAAACUCAAAUGAAUUGACGGGGGCCCGCACAAGCGGUGGAGCAUGUGGUUUAAUUCGAUGCAACGCGAAGAACCUUACCUACUCUUGACAUCCACGGAAUCCUGCAGAGAUGCGGGAGUGCCUUCGGGAACCGUGAGACAGGUGCUGCAUGGCUGUCGUCAGCUCGUGUUGUGAAAUGUUGGGUUAAGUCCCGCAACGAGCGCAACCCUUAUCCUUGUUUGCCAGCACUUCGGGUGGGAACUCCAGGGAGACUGCCGGUGAUAAACCGGAGGAAGGUGGGGACGACGUCAAGUCAUCAUGGCCCUUACGAGUAGGGCUACACACGUGCUACAAUGGCAUAUACAGAGGGCAGCAAGACCGCGAGGUGGAGCGAAUCCCACAAAGUAUGUCGUAGUCCGGAUUGGAGUCUGCAACUCGACUCCAUGAAGUCGGAAUCGCUAGUAAUCGUGGAUCAGAAUGCCACGGUGAAUACGUUCCCGGGCCUUGUACACACCGCCCGUCACACCAUGGGAGUGGGCUGCACCAGAAGUAGGUAGCUUAACCUUCGGGAGGGCGUUU